rnacentral:rRNA from 1 species
UACGUAGGUGGCAAGCGUUGUCCGGAUUUACUGGGCGUAAAGAGCGCGCAGGCGGUCGAGUAAGUCGAAUGUGAAAGCCCCCCGGCUUAACUGGGGAGGGUCAUUCGAUACUGUUCGACUUGAAGGCAGGAGAGGGCAGCAGAAUUCCCGGUGUAGUGGUGAAAUGCGUAGAUAUCAGGAGGAACACCGGUGGCGAAGGCGGGUCUCUGGGCCGAUACUGACGCUGGAGGAGCGAAAGCGUGGGGAGCGAACAGG